GUUCGCCUUGUCCCGUCAAGUCUCACCAGCGUGUUACAGUGUUUCCUGUGCUCUAGUUUUUGUUUUUCCUAGUCUUCCCAGUUCUGACCUUUCUGCCUGUCCGACCUGAUCCUGCCUGAAUCUGAUUUGGAUUAUGACUCUUUGCCUGCCUUGACUUACCUUUUUCCUGCUCCUUGUUAUAUAAUAAACUCUGAGAUUCGUACUAUCCACCUCCUGUGUCUGCAUUGGGGUCUUAGCCUGAGCCUUGAUACUUCCUAAAGAGAAAGACAGUUACUACAUCAGUGAAGCACCUGGACAUCCACAUCAAGGCCAUCUCAGCCCUCUGGCUCACAUCCAUCUGAGAGGAGGCAGAGGGGAAUGAGGACUGGUUCUGUCCCUCAACAGCAAGCAUCUGUUUCACUCUGGUGCCAUCUAGUUGACCAGACUAAAACUGCAGCAGACUAUAUUCUCUCUCGCUCUCGCUCUCUCUCUCUCACUCACACACAAACACGUGCACAUGCACACAUGAACACAUGCAAAUGCAAGCAUUUAUUCAAAACAACAGCUGACUCGUAGAGUGGUUAGCAGUUGCAGUGGAAAUAUGUAGAAAAACCUG
rnacentral:lncRNA from 1 species